ACCACAGAUUGUAUCUGAAUCUCUGUAGAUUAAAACAUUUACUCAAGAUUUUACAGGAUUGUCAAUUUAAGCAUUAUUUGUAUAACGUGAUACAUAAAAUCCUCGUGUUUUAAUUUUAACUUUAUGGCUUUCUUUGUACUUUUAAAAUAGGAGUUUGUGACAACAAUGUGAUAAUCAUAGCUAUUGAAAAAAAAAGGUGAAUUACAAUACACUGGGAAUCUCCUGUAUUGGAUCAGAAACAAACGGAGUCAGAUGCUGCAGAGCCCAGUGAUUGUGUGGAUAUAUACAGAUGACUUAAAGAUUUAAAACUACUUGGCUUUAAACAGACGGAGUCUCGUUCUGUCGCCCAGGAUGGAAUUGCAAUGGCGUGAUCUCGGCUCACUGCAACCUCCGCCUCCCGAGUUCAAGCAAUUCUCCUGUCUCCGCCUCCAGAGUAGCUGGGAUUACAGAUCUCUUGACAAGAGUCCUCCUUGGCUGGACCCAAAAGGAAGCAAGGGAGAUUGAGAUUCCUUUGUUAUAGUUCAUACAAGUCAGCUUCAGGGGCAGAGAGCAAUGAGGAAAAGGGAAAAUGUGGAUCUGGAAAAAGAAAUGAACAAUAUCUGGAAGCAGGAUCAGCCAGACUGUUAACAGACUGAGGCCUAUGCCAACAAGAGAAGGUAAUAAAGAGGUCCAAAGCAUCAGAACAAACAUCAUGACAAAAUGGCAGCCUUGUCUCCACUCUGUAAGAACUGCAAGCUGAGAGUACUAAGCUAGCCUAUGGCUGGGGUCAGUGGGCCAUUUUGUUCUCUGGGUAUUGCACUAAAGGAUGUGUAGAAAAUAUCUGGAGGUAGAAAAAAACAUCUGUGUUGGGAGAAAGGAACAACCACACAGAUUUGGCAGUUAUGAUCCCAGAGGCAAUGUCAGUAUAACCUGUAUCCUUCAACCUGGCAGAAGUGCUUGCUGAAGACUGGUAGAUGAACAACGUGCACUUUCAUACAUCAUUAUGUACAAACUAUAGGAAAAUUUGAGACCUAAAGAAAAAUUGUAUCUGAGCCACAUCUCUAGCACCUGAAUAUUAAACAACAAAGCAGUUAAAAUAACAGUCGGCAAAUAGCAUCUAAGUGCCAAUUCAUCUUGUGUCUGUUUUUGUAAGUAAAGCUUUAUUGGAACAGCACCAUGGUCAUUCACUAAUAUGGUCUAUGGCAGCUUUCCUGCUACAGUGGCAGAGUUCAGUAGUCAGAGACUGAGUG